UACGGAGGGUGCAAGCGUUGUCCGGAUUUAUUGGGCUUAAAGGGUGCGUAGGCGGCUAGUUACGUCAGCGGUGAAAUUCCACAGCUUAACUGUGGAACUGCCAUUGAUACUGGUUGGCUUGAGUACAGAUGAGGUAGGCGGAAUUGACAGUGUAGCGGUGAAAUGCUUAGAUAUUGUCAAGAACACCUAUGGCGAAGGCAGCUUACUAAGCUGUAACUGACGCUGAGGCACGAAAGCGUGGGGAUCAAACAGG
rnacentral:rRNA from 1 species